ensembl:snoRNA
CUGCACAUUUCAUUGACCUGCUUUCGUUGUAUUGUGAGCAGUGUUAUUUCUGAUGUGCUAUAUAAUUUGUAGAAGGUUAAUUAGCAGCAUAACUUGGAAUAUUAGUACUGCUGCCAGUCCCCUUCAAACAAAU